UUAACUGCUGCUCUUUAGGACUAAAAACUUACUAAAACAUUAUAUUAAAAAUACUGAUAUAUUGUAGUAACAGAACAAUAUAUAUAAUCAAAUAAUUUCUUAUUUUUGAUAAUUAAUUUAUUAUAGCUAUGUUUUAACAUUAGCCAAAAAUGCUAGCUUGGCAGGUACGGUAAACUAACUAUCUAGCCAGCUAUACAUAAAUAUGGCAGCAAAGGCUAUCAAUAUUAAUUUAAAACAUACACCUAAAGGAAACUUACACUGAUAUUAUAAAUACGAUAUAAACCAUCUAACAAUAUAGCCAAGUUAUAUUACACACAUAAUAUUUUAAAACGAUUACAUUAGUUACCUAUACCUACAGCUGUAUGCUUUUCGUGAUGCCACUCCUGCUGCCUGAGUGAAUCAAUAAACCAUUUCUAACCAGAAUUACAGACCAGUGUCAGGAGGCAGGAGAUCAGCAGUCAAUUAUGGCAGGACAAAACAUUUUUAUAAUAAAUAAAAAUACUUGAAUAAAAUAUUGAAAAAUGUG